CGGCAAAUGAGAAGCAACAGCAAAUAAUAACUGGCAGAUUUUAUUACAUUUUUUGCCAUUCUUCUGAAAAAUGAAGAUCAUAUUUCUUGUGGUUCACAUUAGCAUGUUGCUACAUGUUGUUUUCUCUGCUCAGGGUCGUUUUGCUCAAAAACUGCUGAAUGACCUAAUGGAGAACUACUCUAAUGCUUUACGGCCUGUGGAGGACACAGACGAAGCCCUUAACGUCACUCUACAGAUCACACUCUCACAGAUCAAAGAUAUGGAUGAAAGGAAUCAGGUAUUGACCACAUACCUCUGGGUGCGUCAGAUCUGGCAUGAUGCUUAUCUGAGUUGGGAUAAAGAUGAGUAUGAUGGACUUGAGGUCAUUCGAAUACCCAGCAGUCUUGUUUGGAGACCAGACAUCGUUCUGUAUAACAAUGCAGAUGAGGAGGACUCCUCUGGACCCCCAGACACGAAUGUGGUGUUGAGGUAUAAUGGUGAGAUCACUUGGGACUCCCCUGCCAUCACUAAGAGCUCCUGUAAGGUGGACGUCUCUUAUUUCCCCUUUGAUAGUCAGGAGUGCAACCUUACCUUUGGCUCCUGGACUUAUAAUGGCAAUCAGGUGGAUAUCAGAAUGGGCAUGGAGAGUGGUGACCUUUCAGACUUUGUGGAAAACGUGGAAUGGGAGUGUCAUGGCAUGCCGGCCGUUAAGAACGUUAUAAUGUACGGCUGCUGCUCUGACCCGUACCCUGACAUAACGUACACAGUCCUGCUCAAGCGGCGUUCUUCCUUCUACAUCUUCAACCUUCUUCUGCCGUGUUUCCUCAUCUCUUUCCUGGCUCCACUGGGUUUCUACCUGCCUGCUGAUUCUGGGGAGAAGGUCUCACUGGGGGUGACGGUUCUGCUGGCUCUGACUGUAUUUCAGCUGAUGGUGGCUGAGAGUAUGCCACCUUCAGAAAGUGUUCCACUAAUUGGAAAAUACUACAUUGCAACAAUGACCAUGAUAACGGCGUCUACAUCUUUAACUAUCUUUAUCAUGAAUAUACACUUCUGUGGAGCGGAAGCCAAACCUGUGCCCCACUGGGCCAAAGUCCUGAUAAUAGACUACAUGUCAAAGAUCUUCUUUGUGUAUGAGGUAGGGGAGAACUGUACCACACCUGAAAGUGACCGAGGCACAUUGUUCUCUGAAGACCCACUGGCUAGCCUUGAGAGAGAUGGGUAUUUUGACAAAGGGUUUUAUGGAGACUGUCACCAUGAUGACAGAAACCACCGUCAGUUUAAUGUGUACAAUCACAGAGACCACCGGCAUGGGAAUGGGUACCAUCACAACAACAGUGACUAUCGACAACAGAGGCAUAACCAGCAAAGGAGGACCCGCUCAUCUUCAAAUUCCCCUAUUCGACAGAAUGCCCAUCAUCCAAAAUACACACACUACAUUGGCCGAGAUGGAAGUGAAAAGCUCCCACUGACAAGCCAGGAGAAACUCAAAGAUAGCGAACUCUCCAUUCCAGAAAAACUUACUGGAUACACCUAUGAUAAUGGCAGUGGUUAUCUCAGUGGAGUUGGGUAUCACCACGAUAAUAGCUACAGCAAAACCUUUGGAGCAGAUAGUUAUAAUAAGACCACUUCUGGCACAGGAUGUGUAUGUGUCUGUGGUCAACAUCAGAAAGUGGUGCGAAACAUUGAGUACAUAGCUAACUGUUUCAGAGAGCAGAGGGCACACCAGGCCAAAGGGGCUGAGUGGAAGAAGGUUGCCAAGGUGAUGGACAGGUUCUUCAUGUGGGUGUUUUUCAUCAUGGUCUUCCUCAUGAGUAUCCUUGUCAUGGCCAAGGCAACCUAGACCGUUUACACCUUAAAGAUGUAAUCAAUUGAUAUUUCAUUAUGGCUAACACUAUGUGUCAAAAGACCAGUUAGUUAGUGAUUGUUCUUUUUUUUUCAAACAAAAAUUCCUAUAAUCUUGUAUUUGCUGGCAAAUGGGCUCAUGUUCUAUACAUUUAACGUAAUAUGUGGGUUACAGUUAAUGAACGAGCGUUGGUUGUUUGAAUGUCUCAUUUUCUUCAUUGUUUAUUUCAUUCUUUACAUUCAAGAAGAUUCUCUGGUUGUAACAGGGUCAUGGUGAUAUUGGAGUCUAUCCCAGCAUCUCGGGUGGAAGGCAGGGACCCACCCUGGACAAAUGGCCAGUCUAUCACAGGGCUAUUAUAAAAUGACCAACGGCAAUCCUCAUUCAUUGUAGGCAUGGACCGAUUACCGGCUUUCAAGUUAUACCGUGAUUUGAAAAUUUCACAGUUUUAGAACCCCUGGACAUUAUGCGAUCAGCAAUUGGCCACUUUUUGUUUUAUUUCAGCCAAUCUCUGUUCUGGCCUUGCACAAACUUCACUGAAAUUACUUUCCAAAAUGACAUUUGUGUGGAAAUAUUAUGAAGUCUGUAAAGUCUGUAAAGGCCAGAGACACUGAAGGGAUAAAAUACUGUACUGUAGCAGGCAGAGCAAGCUCACUGUUUGUGAUGUGCUAAAUAUUGGAAGAAAAUCCUAAAUAUUGAUUCAGGGGUUUAUAUUAAAUGUAUUUACAGUCUUCAGAAAAGUUUAGAUGGUAUUUUCUUUUCAUCUCGUCUUUGGAUAAUGCAUAUUAAAGAAAUGUUUAAGCACAGUGCUGCUGUGGAAACCAAGGAAACCAUUUUGCUGCUGUUCCAUUAGAGAAUUUUCGUUCUCAUUCAGUCUGUCUGCUGCUUUUGUUUCAUUUAGGGAUGUUUUAUGUAGCAUAAUUUCACUAAGUUGGUCAGAACAUUCUGUUUUUGCUUCAAAUUGUAUCAUUUAAUAACCCAAUCUAGCAGCAAUUUUAGCAGCAUAUAAACCAUCAAUUCAGAAAACACUUGAGAAAAAUAAAUCAAAGAAAAAAAGAAACAAAUAUUAUUCUUCCAAAUAUUCUGUAUGUUGCUUAAAAAAAUAAAAUAUA